UUAAUGUAAGAAAAACAGAAUUAAUUCUGAUGCCUUUGGUUGAUUGCUCCGAUACGCAUCCGAAACAUAUCAUUUCUUAUCUUCAAAGUAUACUAAUAUUGGUCCAAAUGAUGUAUCUUUCGAUGAUCUUGAUUGCAAACAAAAAUUUCUAAAUAUAUGAUUUUAUUUUGAUAUUAAAAAGAUUUAUUGUGUUUCAUGAAUACAUUGGUGAAAAACUAUGAUUAAGAAAUUGAGUUCUAUAAAUAUAUAUACCUCAAUGAUCAUCUAUAUAUUUUUCUCUCCUACAUUCUUAAAGAUUUCCAUCAGAAUAUCAAUAGAGUGAAUGAUCUUAAAACUAGAAAUAUUUCAGUUCACUCAAAUGACUCUAAAAGAAAGAAAAUGUAAAUGCUUUUGAAAGAAAUUGAGCUUCAAUUGAAUCAUUUUCUGAUUAAUACUUUUAUACAUUUUCUCUAAGAUUAGGAGAAAGCAUAACUUGUUCUUAAAGGAUUAGAAAGAGUGAUUACUAUAAAUUCUGAAUAAUUCUAGAUCACUCUACAUUCUUGAUAUUACAGAAUUUCAGUGUUAUUCACGUUUAUCAC
rnacentral:lncRNA from 1 species